CAUAGUGAGUCUGGGGACCCAAGAUCUUAUUUUCCUUUCUGUCACCCCCGCUUGGUUUUGGAUUCCGUGACAGCUGGACCCGGCUUCUGCGUGAUCUUCAGAGGGAAGGCACCAGGAGUGGACUGCGGGACACCCAGAGUGGACUGCAGGAGGACACAGAAGCUAGGCUGAAGCGGGAGGAAGCUGGGAACCCUGCACGGGGCCACUGCGCACUGGGACUCGUUACUGGUCCCCAAGACUCAGGGAGAAUGGGGAAGAGUGUAUCACAGCCAUUGGGAACUUUCUUCACCCAUCAAAGCCUCAGGGCUGAAGCAUCCUGAACAAGAACUCAGGAGAGUGAAAGAAACAGUUACCUGUCGGCUGCAGCUGGUACCAGCUCCCCACCCCGUACAGAGACCGAAGCGUCCUCUCUCUCCCCAUCACCCAGCACCAGACUCUGCCCCGCGACCUCAGCCUGCACCUGCUUCCUGGCUCCAUCCAGCCUUCCAGCCUCACUAGAUCAUCAUGGGCCACUGGCCAACACACAGGGCAGUGCCGAGCCCAGGCCGUGGUCACACAUGGCUGGGUUAGUAGCUGAAAACAUUGUUUUUCACUGGCCUCACAGUAAUGGCACCUGCCCCCAUUUUCUGUGAUUGAAUUUUUGGAUCCUGCUACCAGGUUAUGAUAGAUUUUAUGGUAUGUCUCAAGAUAUUGAGAUAAAGGUAAUAAAACAGCUAUAAAGUCCUGGCUCAAGAAGUGUUACAAACCCAAGCAGGGUAAAUACAAGAAAACUGCACCCAGACACAACAUAGUAAAAUUGCUGAAAACCAAAGAUGAAUAGAACACUUAACAGUUGGAGGAAAAAAGCCACAUUACCUUCAUAAGGACACCAAUCACACUAACAUCUGACUUCGAAAUAGAAAUAUAAAAGCCAAACUACAAGGGAAUGUGAUCUUCAAAAUAUUGAAAGAAUUUAAUUGUUAAGUGAAAUAAUUAACUGCCAACCUAAAUUCUAUUCCUAGUGGAAAUACUCUCCAAGAAUAAAGGUGAAAUAAAUACAGACUCACACAAGAGAAAUCAAGAGCGUUCUUCCUCAGGAGACAUGAGCUGAUUGGUAUAGAAGAGGUGUUUGAAACGUCCUUAGAGGGAGGGCUAGAGACACAGGGAGGAGAAACCUUCAGAACACACCUUCCAUUGAGGGCCAAAAAAGUCAACUAUCGAUUCUUUGAAAGUGCCCCAAACUCGUAAAUCUCUGGUGAUGCUGACCAAAAAAACAAUGAAGGAAGGCACCCUGUGAUGGGGAAGGAAAAGGGGAGAUUGCUGGAGAUCUGUGGAUAUUAAAAAUAGGCACAUAUACACUAUGGAAUACUAUGCAGCCAUAAAAAAGGAUGAGUUCAUGUCCUUUGUAGUGACAUGGAUGAAGCUGAAAACCAUCAUUCUGAGCAAACUUUCGCAAGGACAGAAAACCAAACACUGCAUGUUCUCACUCAUAGGUGGGAAUUGAACAAUG
rnacentral:lncRNA from 1 species